AGAAAUGCAGAGAGACAGGGCCAGUCACUUUGCACAGAUCACCACUUGUACGUUAAAACCAAGGGUCUACUACAACUACCACGUGGGGAGAAUAAUCCUUAGCGGGGCAGAGGAAGGCAUGGAAGAAGUCCUCCAGGAGGCCUCAGGGAGUGUCUUGGGAAUUUGCCACAGCGCGCUUUCCGCAGCCUUCGGGCCCGAGCUCCCCGUUGUGGUCAGGUUACAGACAAAGGGUCUCCGUACAGAGUGACACAUGUGUUUUCCCACAGGGACUGGGGAACAGCUUCCCUUGAUUCUAAAACCUUAUUGCAAACUUCUCUCAUUGCCUCACCCCAUGAGAUACUCUAGGUGUGAUGGUUUAAGGUCAUUUAGACAGAGACCAGACUGACAGUUCAAAUAUGCAAACCCACAAGCCGAACGGAAUCUUUGUGUACAAUCCUUUGCGCUCCACAGACAUAGGAGCCGUGCACGGGGACAGGCAAAGCCUAGGCUCCGCUUUACUCCCGGGAAGCAUCAAAGCCAGCUGAUGGCAGAGGUGUUGAUGGCCUCAUACGGCGACGUUGACUCCGUGAUGACAGCCAACACAGAGCACGCAGACAGUGGGGAUGAGAGCAGUCAAACCAGGGAAAGGACAAAUCCCAAGAUCUAGGCAAGGCUGACGGCAUCUCUGGACGGACACGACAAUUCAAGGGACGUUGUAUGGGAAUGAAAAGGAGAGCAUGGCAGAUGAGGAGAGACAUUUAAUGGAAAUGAGGAAUGAAGACAGACACCUCAGCCUAGGCAGCAGAAGGGAGUGAGCCUGGGCUGAGUCCACACUGAAGACAGAGAAUGGAAAGAGGAGCUGGAAGACAGGAUAUCAGCAAGUUUGGAAGAUGAGAAUAUCGCAAAGAAGAACAAGGCCAUGGUGGUGCAGGUGGUUGCCCGAGGAGGGAAGAAUAAGCCCAGGCGGAGUCCAGAAAACUGAAGGGAAACCGAGGAAUGCAUGCGGCAGCAUGAGCUGAGGGGGAUGACUCGGAGAGUCACACAGUGCACAGUGAGCCCGUGCCCCUGGGACGGAGCCCCACAAGAUGGAUCGGGAUUCGCUUGUACUGCUGGAGAACUGUACCAGUUCCCAGAGGAGGAGGAGGUGCCCACGAGCUUCAACCUUGGAGCUGCCCUUACGGUGGAUGUUUCCAAUUGUCUUGCCGUGAAUUCCUACCCACGUCAUAAUGCAAAAGCAGCAGAGGUAGAUGGCAUCUUUGGCCUGAUUUGGAUCAAAGCGUGACUGUG